rnacentral:lncRNA from 1 species
GAUAAUCCAAAGUUGUAGAUAAUAUCAUAAAUACGUGGAAGAACAACCCAACGCAGCCCUAACCGGGGUGUCACUAGUCAUGAGCAUCUACAAAACCUAAUACAAGUCUGAAAGGUCUACAACAUGUACAAAAGUCUGAUAUGAGAUAGAAAUGAUAAAGAGGGAGAAACACGGGUCUGCGGACGUCAAGCAGCUACCUCGUGAACUCUGAAUGUCCACCGGGAGCUCUCAACUCGCACUGGCAGGAUCAACAACGCCUGAAUUUGCACACAGGGGUAUAAGGAGUAAAGUGAGUACUCCAACUCAGUGAGUAACAAAUGUAAAUAACGACUGAAAGUAAGAAAACACGUAAGGCAAAAGGCAUUCUAUAAUGAAGCAGUAAAAUCAUUUAAAAGAAGUACAACAGUGAAAAGUCAAGUAAAAUCCUCUUUCAACAAAUAAACAAGUAAUUGACAGGUAAUUAAGGUAGAGUAAACAAAUAGAAGUUUGCCCCUCGGGCACAGUAUCACCACAUCCUCCCCUCGGGCAACAUCUCAGAACAAUAACAGCCCCUCGGGCUCAAUAUCACAUCACAAUGGGUACCCGCGCUCACAGGGGGUGUGCAGACUCCCGGAGGGGCCCUUACGGCCCAAGCGCAAUACCAAGCCAUCUCGUGGCAUCAAAACUAGGCACUCGGCCUCAUAUCAGUCAAUCCACCUCGUGGCACAUAUAUCUCAGGCUCUCGGCCUCAAAUCAGUAUUAGUGUUUCCUCACAACUAGGCCCUCGGCCUUACUCGGUAAAAAAUACUCACAAGCCCCUCGGGCAAUAGUAAACAUUGUUAUUAGCCCAAACAUCAUUUAAAAUAUCAUUUAAGUCUUAAAACUAAGUAAACAUGGAUGAGUAUGAAAACAGUGAAAAAUAACAAGAGUGAGUUCAAGUGUAAAGUCAAAAUAGUGAGGAAAUAUCAAUAAAAAUCCCUAAAGGGUUCAAAUAGUUGGCACUAGGCCCAAAUAUGGCAUUCAGCCCAAAUAAUGAUGAAAGCAAAUAGUAUAUGCGGUAAAAUCAUCAAUCGGGACGGACCAAGUCACAAUCCCCAAUAGUGCACGGCCUCGCGCUCAUCAUCACGCGUGUGUCUCAUCUCAAUAUAGCACUACGAUGUGCAACUCCGGGGUUUCAAACUCUCAGAACAUCAUUUACAAUCAUUACUCACCUCAAACCGGCUAAAUCUCUAGCUCGCAACACCUUUGCCCCUCGAAUCAGCCUCCACUUGCGUCAAAUAUACCCAAAUCAGAACGAGGAUGUCAAAAUAUGCUAAGGGAACGAAGCCCAAGCGAAAACAAUCAAUAAAGGGCACAAAUCCCGAAAUUACCAAAACCCGACCCCCGG